rnacentral:ncRNA from 2 species
AUAAAACUUGGAAGCUGUGAAGAAUUCUUUUAUGUGGGCACUUUAGGAAUUUGGAGCUAGUUGUGCAACCGGCCAAUUUAAAC